UACGGAGGAUCCGAGCGUUAUCCGGAUUUAUUGGGUUUAAAGGGUGCGUAGGCGGUUUGAUAAGUUAGAGGUGAAAUGUCGGGGCUCAACCCCGAAACUGCCUCUAAUACUGUUGGACUAGAGAAUAGUUGCGGUAGGCGGAAUGUAUGGUGUAGCGGUGAAAUGCUUAGAGAUCAUACAGAACACCGAUUGCGAAGGCAGCUCACCAAACUAUAUCUGACGUUGAGGCACGAAAGCGUGGGUAGCAAACAGG
rnacentral:rRNA from 1 species